UGCACCGGGAUGUCUUGUUUGCAUAAGU
rnacentral:piRNA from 1 species